AGCUGUGUCUAGGUGGCAAUGUAUUUCUGUACAAGUAUUCGUAGCAACAUGUCCGCCGCUGUAGGAACUUGCCAACAGUCUAUCUAACAGUAAUAAACAAGGAGACUUGGAAACACACGAGGAGGUGGCUUUCAUUAAAGAGAGAGUGAGAACAUCCACACUGUUUUUCUUUGAUGGAAGGAAGAGCUGCCAGGUCUCAGGAGAACAAGAACAUCACCUGAGACUCAGGGAGAGAGGAGCAUAAACGGUGGAACCCUGGGUCAUGUUGUCGAAGCUAAGAAGAGCAGAGAAAGAAUCACUCACUUUUUGGAGAAGAAACAAGUGAGAAGGUAUGGUGUUCUGCCAGAAUUACAGAUAUGUGAAAUCACUUAUGAAGAGGAAACCUGAGUCAUAAAUGUUUUCAAGAAAUAUACCAACUCCUGCCUGCUGCCCAGAAUUGUCUUGGCUGGACUUGUAGCUGCACCGGGUUACUGGGUCAUGCUUCCAGGUGGUGAUGAAAAUCCAAGUGAAGCUGGUCACAUCAGCCUUCUGGGACUCAUUAACAGACAGUUCCAGAAGAAGGUGGGCCAGGACUAGGGACUUCUGUUGCA